rnacentral:rRNA from 1 species
UACGAAGGGGGCUAGCGUUGUUCGGAAUUACUGGGCGUAAAGGGCGCGUAGGCGGUUUGUCGCGUCUGCUGUGAAAACUGGAGGCUCAACCUCCAGCCUGCAGUGGGUACGGGCAGACUAGAGUGUGGUAGGGGAGACUGGAAUCCUGGUGUAGCGGUGAAAUGACGCAGAUAUCAGGAGGAACACCGAUGGCGAAGGCAGGUCUCUGGGCCACUACUGACGCUGAGAAAGCGGAAAGCAUGGGGAGCGAACAGG